CCCCCCCGCCCCCCAUAUGGCUACCGAAAGUAUGCUUUCAAGAGGGAACGAGAAGGCCCAGCGGCGCCUACCCUCUGACCCUCCCCUCCAUCCCGCCCUGAGACGCUCAGGCGUGUGCACGAAUCUACCAGCUAACGUCUUGUUUGUAGCAUGUUGAUUUUUCACACGUGGAGACCAGUCCAGGACUGGUGACAGACCGGAAGGCCAUCCAUUCAUGACGCUCUCAGAUGAGUGGGACAAAUGAAAGAUCUGCAUCCUUGAGUUCCCGGAGGGAGAGCAUGACAGCAGCCGAGGGUGGCAUCAGAAUCUAGACACCAAGAACGUUCUCAUGACAGCACCCUUUAAGGACUCCAGGAACGUUCUCAUGACAGCACCCUUUAAGGAUUUCACGGAACGUUGUCAUAACGGCACCCUUUAAGGACUUCAAGAACGUUAUCAUGACAGCACCCUUUAAGGACUUCAUGGAACGUUGUCAUGACAGCACCCUUUAAGGACUCAAAGAACGUUCUUGUGACAGCACUGUAAGGGUCGGUUUAAACAUGACCUGUAAUGGCCCCUUAAACACUUUUCUAUAACAUGGUAUGUGAUCCUAAUGUAAGCAACAUAUAAAGCAUCCUUCCUCCCACUGAAGUGUAAAUGUGAGAACUGACAGAGAGGUUACCAAAAACAUAGAGCCUGCCUGGUGUUGAAUUGUCCCGUUAAUAAUAUGGCAUACAGGUUUAUUCUCUACACGCUGUGUUUCUGCUGGUGUUAUGUAGCAAAGAAUCCAAUCUAAUGAGCGUGAAUAUCACACAUUAAAUUAGGGGAUAAUUGAUAAUGUCAGUGGGUAUGUUUUUUAUUCUUUAUUUUGGUGCCCAGGCAUGGCAUAUACAUUUUUUUUUGUCUAUCCCAUUGAUUUAUUAGUUCAAUCUUCAGCCUGCUGGUGUAGCAUGCCCCAAAAAAAUAAUUUGACUUUUAGCCUGCCUGAUUUUAUCACCAGGCAGUGAAUUAGUCAAUUGACCAAUAUGCAAGUUCCUAAUCAGUUUGUUUUCACUUCCUACUCGGACCACUCCCAAAAUGCUCUUUGCAAGAGUAAGUUGAUUUGCCAUUGAAGCUUGGCACUCUUUUAUAGUGCCAUGCUGACUUGAAAAUCUGUCAUUUAAAAAAAUGAUUCUGCUAAAAAAUAUGCUGUGGAAUAAUUACUUGAAUGAACCAUGAAAGACUUGAGGGUAAGCACUUGUAUAUUUCUGCUCCGAAUUACUUUCCACAAUCUCGCUCAUUAAAAUGUACCAAUGGGAAUUGAAAUGAACUUGAGACAAAUAAUUGAUGGACCAAGUCUCAGAACCCCAUUAUUAGUCAUGCUUGUAUU